GCCAAUCCUCUCCUCGCGCGCGGCGUGCUUCCAGUGGGUCGUGGAACCCUAGACCCCUUUCCCCAAUCCCACGGCUGCCUCCAUCCUCCCGUGCUCCACCCCGAGCGUGCCCAGGCUCCGCCUCCUCCUCCUCCACCAUCCCUUCUCUUCUCACUCUUCCUCCUGUGGCGGCCGCCUCCUCUUCUCCCUAUCAUCCUCCUCCUCGCCCCACGCGACCCCUCUUGUGCCGCUCGUCUCCACUUCGUUGCCGCCAUAGAUCGAGGAGGACGGCGCGAUGACGACCAUGAUGCAUCAGACAUCCCAGAUCGACGACGCCAUGGAAGCCAUGAGAGCUGGCCGAGGAAGAGAGGGCAGGGCCGCAGGCCAUGAAGGGCAUGGCGGCUGCGGGCGGAAGCAGCAUGGGUUGAAGGAGCGGCGGAUGUGGGCGGGGUCAGAGGUUGCGGAAGACUCGUCGGCUGGGCGACAGGAAGCGCCGGUGAGUGCAAUCAUGCGUUUCCAGAAGCGUCCUAUCCUACAAGGCAGGCAAGGACGACGUCGUCGCCCUCGCAGGUUCUACGAUCUGUUGCAUCUCUUUUCUUCUCGUUAAGGAGAGGGGAGGCGGCCAAUGACAGGGAGAAGGAGCAGGCCGUCGAGGAGUGCAAGCAGAAGGAUUAAUUUUGGCCCAUACAGUUUCCGGUGACUAGAAGUCUGAAACUGAUGACAGGGCAUAUUGUUUUGGUUAUGAGUGGUUGGAGUUAUUGUGGCUUGAUGUCCUGGAGCAGUCAGACCCUUCCAAGAUAGGUCGAGCGACGGCGAGCACAUCCGACGGCAACACACCAAGCAAAAAAGAAGCAGGAGCAAAACGAAAGUGAGCACCAUAGAAAGGAUGAUUAUAAGCAAGCGACAAGAACAAGCCAAUGGGCAUGGCAUUUUCAAGCGACAAGAACAAGCCAAUGGGCAUGGCAUUUUAUGAAAAAUGAGCAGAGAGACCAGGCGUGGGACUGGUGCUUGGUAGCAACAGCGAUUCCUUCAGGCAUUUCGAUUCCAGUAACCACAAGUUCUAGGGAAGAUGUAUGUUUCCUACAAAGGGUUUGAGUUUGAGAGGCACAGAAGAAGUUACAAGUGUUGCAGCUUAUUUGUCUUUAUAGUGACAUGUAUCGACAAACGAUUGUUAUAUUCAGUAUGCUAGGGUGUGUCCUAUUUAUCAUGCAGAUUCUGUAUUAGGUGCUCGAUAGAGGUAACAAAAGCUAACAGAGAUCAGAAUAUAUUUUUACUUAUAUUUUUGUCUUUCUUUUAGUUCUGUGUAGUCUUUAUUUACCAUGUAAUGAUUAGUUUGAAUGCUUAUAGUGGUUAUACUUUCCCUAUAAAUUUGUUGGGUAGAUUAUAAUUCCGUUACUUGAUUUAGGACAGUAUAUGGUUCUAUGAUACAGGAUUUAGAGGAACAUAUAUGGGAUUUUGUUUUUCAGGUCACACUUGUCCCAUAUUCUGUUACUUUCCCUAUUGAUUUUAGCUUGCAAUUGAGUAAGAUGCAGGCUGGGAAUUCUCCCUUGUGUGUCAGAAUCUGAAGUAUUUGACCAUUUGGGUUCACUUCUAUUAUGUGUUGUAUCCUUCCUCUAUUUUGAGAUUUACUAGGCACAUGCAGGUUAGUUGUUGUUUCAAACAUGUCAAUGAAAGGUAAUAAUGUUAAAAUUGGUUCCCCAAGGGCCAAGGUGGUGAUGAUCACUUUGUGCUUCUUUUCCUACUUGUUCUAAAAAUGAUUCUUCUAGGUGAUGUUGAUUUAGGUUUUUGUGGUCGUGUCAUACACCAAUUACCGUCGAGAUGGGUAAUGGUAUGAGAAUGGGGCUCCAAGGAUGUGAAAAUGGUCUGGAAGACAGAGUUAGCAGCGACAUGUGUCCUCAAGUAAUUUCUUGCCAAAGGUGAUGUGAAGGUUAGCUACUGUGAUCAAGGAAAUAACAUGUAUCUGUGUGGUUUGUUCCUGCUGUUGAUCGGCUGUUGCUGCGUUUAAGGUAUGUUGUGCCCGGUGCUACUUAAUGCUAUAUAAAACCUGUAGCUGUACAUAAAACGCCUUGAUAUGCAAAUAACCCAGUUAAAAUAAAUGGGUUGCGCCAUCUAGCAUUACAUGAUGACAUGCCAAACACUUUGCCACCUAGGAUAGUCUAUAUUUGUAUUUCAUUCAGUUAUCUCAUAUUUCCAGUAAAAAAACUCUUCGCUUUGGGGUUUUGGAAUAAUCUUCAGGAAGUUGGUGACGAGUUAGUAGAACUUAUAGAAAUUGUAGAAAAUAGCCCCUACGGAAUUACAAAGAGCGAGAAUAAGGAAGCCGGCAAACUUAGUGCUUCAUGGUAUUUCAGUAGAAAGGAAAUAGAAGAGAAUUCUCCGUCUAAGAGGGAUGGCAUUGAUUUAAAGAAAGAGAGUUACCUUCGGAAAUCGUAUUGCACUUAUCUACAAGAUUUGGGGAUGCGGCUCAAAGUGUAAGAUAUUUUAUGUCCUUCUAUGCAUUUAUCGAUACUGUAGCCUGUUGGCUGACUGUCCCUUGCUUAUCCAAAAACAUUGAGUUAUGCUACUUACCCAACCAGAUGUUAAAUACUUCAAAAUGUGUCUUUAUAUGGUCAUUGUAUCGUAAUUGCUUCUCCUGAUGUGUUUUUGUUUUACACCAGCAUAUAUUUGGUCCAGAGAUAUUCAAUUGUUUGUCUGAUAAGAUAAUAUUUUACUUCUUUAUGGAGCACUCUUAUGGCAAGCACAUUUUUUCUGGAUGAACUGCUGGUUGGGUUUUUUCUCCAUAAAUACGAUAAAUUAUCAUAUCUAUGAAAUGUUAAGAUAUACUGAAAAUAUGCCCUGUAUGAUGGUGGUCUGGCAUUUUAGAAUUGUUUUGGGCAAUUCAUGUUUGUAUGCAUUUUUUCUUUUCGCCCUUGAAGGCAUCUUUAAUAGUUUGCAAUUGCGAUAGAAAUUUCUGUGCUCAUAUCUUUAGUUUUUAUUACAAUUGGUCGAGCUACAACGAGUGCGUCUGAUUCCAACUCAUCAAGGUGAGCUCCCUCUUUUAUUCUUCUCAGGUAAUGAGGCAUCGGUGUAGGCCCAAUCUUUUUGUUUGUUGCUUUGAAGAGUGUUGUCAUGUUGUGGAAAGGCAACAUGUGCUUGAUAUGUGGAGUUGGUGUUGAGCCUGGCGGUAGUAGACAGGGAAGGCACCCAUCUCACUUGAUCUUGAGAGUUGAUUCAUAUCUUUUUUUCUUGACCUGAUUGAGUUCCUAUAUAUGCAAGGAUAAAGAAGAAGGGGCAUUGUCGUGGUUGUUGCUUAAGGUGUUGGUCAGGAGCUGAUUGCCGGGACUGAUGACAAGAACGGAGAGCAGGAUGAGUAUGUCAACAUGAUGUUCCUUGAUGUUGGCCUUCUUUUAUAAAGUUCACAUGCAACUCUCCUCCAUGGUUAGAAAAAACUAAUUUAAACGUUUUGUUUCUUUGGUGGUUAUUCAUUUCUCUUACCAUUGAUGUAUCAAAACAAUUGUAUUUUCGUUGAUGGCCACUUGGGCUCAUUUUCGAGGAGAAUGAGAUGUGGAAUAAACUACUCUGAAAUGGUUGGUUCCCUUCA